GAGAGCACUGGGUCAGCUGCUCAGCGCAUUGCACGCCGGACUGCUUUGGCUAUCAGACAGGAUCUAAAAGAAGACAUAGGGCCAUGAACUCAAACAGUGCUCCUUGCUGUGUUCCCGGAGAAUCUUCUGAACACCAAACUUGAUCUCAAAACUGAAAUGUCCAACACCUAGAAGUGGUGUCUAUUGAUAGCAAAAACCUCAAAUUUGUUUUCAAGCUUUACACUGCAUGCUGUGAAAGGUGAUGUCCCUCGCAGUAAUACAGCAUGGAACUCCUUGGGCUGCAUAGGAAGUCCCUCCUACAGACAAGGACAAGAAGAGGACAAAGAAGAAACAAUGAUAAAUCUGAGCAGAUGACAGUGACCAUUCAGCAAACAAGGUGGUGCCCCCCCAUAACACAGAGUAUUUGUUGGUUACAUAUAGCACAGUGCUCAGUCAAUGCAGGCUGUGUUAACAAAAGCUCACCAAUUCACUAGUCACAUGUCCUAGGAGUUAUGGGAGACUGGAAAGUUGCCUGGUUCAUAUGGGGUGUGCAUAUACAUAUAUAAAAUCUUAUGAAUU
rnacentral:lncRNA from 7 species